UGUUUCUCUCGCGACAUCUGGAAGAGAGAGCUGCCUACUUGUUUCUCUCGCGAGAUCUGACAACACUGCGCGCGAACCAAACACGGCGAGGAUGAAGCCAGAUGGCGUCUGACGGUGAAGACGUUGUUGCAAUCGUCACAACAUCUAUCAGCUGAUUGACCACCAAGAAGAAUGUCUUCCUCAUCUACAGGGGGACAGUUUAACUUUUUGAAUAUCCACAGCCCUUAUAUUUUAAAAGAGACAAGGAGGAUCCACAGUCCCCCUAUUUUAAAGAGGAAGAGGAGGGAGAGUGUCCUGUAGGGCAGGAGGAGGCUGAUCUCAGCAAGUUUCCACUGACUGUUGUCUCUGUGAAGACUGAAGUGCAUGAAGCAUGUAUGCACUGAUUAAAAAUACAGAACUAGAA